GAUCAACGCUGGCGGCGUGCCUAACACAUGCAAGUCGAACGCGAAAGGGGCUUCGGCCCUGAGUAGAGUGGCGUCCGGGUGAGUAACGCGUGGGUAAUCUACCUUCGGGUGGGGAAGUAACCAGUCGAAAGAUUGGCUAAUACCGCAUAAUGCAGCGGCACGACAUCGUGACAGUUGUUAAAGGAGCAAUCCGCCUGAAGAGGAGCCUGCGUCUGAUUAGCUUGNGGUUGAGGUAACGGCUCACCAAGGCUACGAUCAGUAGCUGGUCUGAGAGGACGGCCAGCCACAAUGGCACUGAAACACGGGCCAUACUCCUACGGGAGGCAGCAGUGGGGAAUUUUGCNCAAUGGGCGAAAGCCUGACGCAGCAACGCCGCGUGAGGGAUGAAAUCCUUCGGGAUGUAAACCUCGCAAAUAUGGGAAGAACUCAAUGACGGUACCAUAUGUAAGCCACGGCUAACUACGUGCCAGCAGCCGCU
rnacentral:rRNA from 1 species